rnacentral:pre_miRNA from 1 species
AAUAAGAUCAUUUUUUAGUUUUUAGAUAUAAUGCUUUGACUUCUCGUCUUAUUUAAAAUUUUUUUGCGAUUAAUAUUUUUAUUGUUACUAUAUGAUAAAACAUGAAUUGUACUUUAUGCGUGACUAAUUUUUUUAAGUUUUUUUGCAAAUUUUUUAAAUAAGACGAAUGGUCAAACUUUGAACACAGAAAUCGAAAAAUGAAGUUAUC